rnacentral:rRNA from 1 species
UACGUAGGGGGCAAGCGUUGUUCGGAAUUACUGGGCGUAAAGGGCGCGUAGGCGGCACAGCAAGUCGGGAGUGAAAGCCCGGGGCUCAACCCCGGAAUGGCUUUCGAAACUGCUGAGCUAGAGUACAGAAGGGGCAACCGGAACUCCCAGUGUAGCGGUGAAAUGCGUAGAUAUUGGGAAGAACACCUGAGGCGAAGGCGGGUUGCUGGGCUGAUACUGACGCUGAGGCGCGAAAGCCAGGGGAGCAAACGGG